rnacentral:tRNA from 1 species
GGCAGAAUCGAGUGGCAGCGGCCCGCAAACCCGCGCCAAUACUGAAGGUUGUACGGCCUGCAAAGCCGUGUACAUCGGUUCGAUUCCGGUUCGCGCCUCCA